AUUAUAUAUGUGAAUAACAGUCCUCGUGCACGUCUUUUAUUCGUUCCGUUAUAAUUGAACCGCACUCCUCGGCGUCAUUGUUAAAAUGUCAAUUUAUUUUCAUCGCAGGUUACGUGACAAAUUUAAAGUGUGUUGUUUAGAUUUUUCGAUUACUGACGUCAUUUUGACGGUCACGUAAUAGUCAUUACACGAAUAAAAGACGUUGCAGCAAUUUAAUAGAAGCAUUCAAAAAUAUAACACGAGUAUACAGCUACAAUUAAAAAAUAUAUAGUAUAAAAAAAAUAACCGGAUCUACAACUAUAGAUUGAAUGUUGGGAUGUUAGGAAAGUAUAGGAUAUUAAAUGGAAAAUUUAGUUUACAUACAGAAAGCAACGACACAUCAUUUCAAACAAAAAAAAACUAUUCUGUACAGAGCUCGGUAAACUAAGAAAGUUAUAGUAUAUUGAUCGUGUUCAUUCUCCUUAUUGUAGCCAAGAUAACUCUAAAAUCAACAAAAGUAAAACUAAAAUAUCAUGUUUUGUUGUCAAUUUUUAAAGAAAACCGUUAGGAAUCUAGAAAAAUGUUUUAAAUAAAGUAACAAC